UGGCAGAGCAAGAGCACAGAAAAAUUCCUUUGGUUCCAGAAAAUCUCCUGAAAAAUAGGAAGGCUUAUCAAGCCCUCAAAGCCACCCAGGCAAAGCAGGCAUUUUUGGCAAAGGAGCAGAGGAAAGGAAAAGGGCUCAGGUUUAAGUGACUGGAAUCAUUCCUACAUGAUUCCUGGCAGGAGAAACGUGACAAGGUGCAUCUCAAGACAACUAGAAGUGCAACCUCACGCCUUGGAAUUGCCGGAUAAAUGUUCCUUGGCCUUUGUUGUACGCAUCAAAAGGAUUGAUGGCGGGAGUUUACUGGUGCAGAGAACCAUUGCAAGACUUUGCCUGAAGAAAAUUUUUAGUGGUGUCUUUUUAAAAAUGCUGCGUAUAGUGGAACCUUAUGUGACCUGAGGAUUUCCAAAUCUGAAGUCUGUCUGGGAAUUCAUUUUGAAACAUGGACAAGCCAAGGUCAAGAAUAAGACCAUCGACCAUCCCUCUGACAGACAACACAGUGAUUGAGGAGGACCUGGGGAAGUUUGGCGUCAUUUGCUUGGAAGACCUCAUUCAUGAAAUUGCCUUCCCAGGGAAGCAUUUCCAGGAGAUCUCAUGGUUCUUGCGCCCUUUCCACCUUUCAGUGGCCCGUCAUGCUACCAAAAAUAGAGUGGGCUUCCUCAAGGAGAUGGGCACACCUGGCUGUGGGGGUUAACGCAUCAAUCAGCUCAUCUGCCAGCUGAACUA
rnacentral:lncRNA from 1 species